rnacentral:rRNA from 1 species
GAUGAACGCUGGCGGCGUGCCUAAUACAUGCAAGUCGAGCGAACAGACGAGGAGCUUGCUCCUCUGACGUUAGCGGCGGACGGGUGAGUAACACGUGGAUAACCUACCUAUAAGACUGGGAUAACUUCGCGAAACCGGAGCUAAUACCGGAUAAUAUAUUGAACCGCAUGGUUCAAUAGUGGAAGACGGUUUUGCUGUCACUUAUAGAUGGAUCCGCGCCGCAUUAGCUAGUUGGUAAGGUAACGGCUUACCAAGGCAACGAUGCGUAGCCGACCUGAGAGGGUGAUCGGCCACACUGGAACUGAGACACGGUCCAGACUCCUACGGGAGGCAGCAGUAGGGAAUCUUCCGCAAUGGGCGAAAGCCUGACGGAGCAACGCCGCGUGAGUGAUGAAGGUCUUCGGAUCGUAAAACUCUGUUAUUAGGGAAGAACAAAUGUGUAAGUAACUAUGCACGUCUUGACGGUACCUAAUCAGAAAGCCACGGCUAACCACGUG